rnacentral:rRNA from 1 species
AUUGAACGCUGGCGGCAGGCCUAACACAUGCAAGUCGAACGAGUCGCGGACGGGUGAGUAAUGUCUGUGAAACUGCUUGAUGGAGGGGGAUACCUACUGGAAACGGUACCUAAUACCGCAUACCAUCUGAUGUUCCCAGAUGGGAUGGGCGAGUAGGUGGGGUAACGGCGUACCUAGGCGACGAUCCCUAGCUGAGCUGAGAGGAUGACCAGCAACACUGGAACUGAGACACGGUCCAAACUCAUACGGGAGGCAGCAGUGGGGAAUAGUGCACAAUGGUAGCAAGCCUGAUGCAGCCAUGACGCGUGUAUGAAGAAGGCCUUCGGGGUGUAGAGUACUUUCAGCAGGGAGGCGUUACCCGCAGAAGAAGCACCGGCUAACGACGUGCGAGAAGCCGCGGUAAUUC